GGGCCCUCCAACUCGCCACCCAGAGCUCCUGUUGAGGAGCAUCCCCCCCCCAACAAACUACUGGUGAGGAAGAGGAUAUCACGGUUGCUGGAGAGGUCGAGGUCCAGGAAGAGCCCGUUGUGAUGAGCCUCGCUCAGGAAGCUGUAAAAGAGAUUAUGCUGCGACAAGCAGCUAUAACAAAAAGGCAACAAUUAAUCCUUGGUAACCAGAGAAAAAUCAUCUAUCUAGUCAAGCAAAAUGAACAGCUGGAGGAGCAACAAAUGACAGAGAUGAUAGAGUUGGAAAAAAUGCAGAAGCGCAUGAGCCAUUCUGUUUGAUUUUUUUUUGUAAUAAAAAGUGUUAUUUUUUGGAAA